rnacentral:tRNA from 1 species
UCCCUGGAGGACUAGUGGUUAGGCCUUGGUGCUCUCACCGCUGUAGCCAGGGUUCGAUUCUUGGCCAGGGAG